rfam:Triticum aestivum genome assembly, contig: Triticum_aestivum_CS42_TGACv1_scaffold_195058_3AL
UACAUACUCCCUCUGUCUCAAAAUUCUUGUCUUAGAUUAGUCUAGAUAUGGAUGUAUCUGAUACCAAAACAUGACUUGAUACAUCCGUAUUUAGACAAAUCUAAGACAAAAAUUUUGGGACGGAGGGAGUAUUUC